GGCAUAACUUGAUGAUUUGGGUGUUGGU
rnacentral:sRNA from 1 species